rnacentral:rRNA from 1 species
AACGAACGCUGGCGGCGUGCCUAACACAUGCAAGUCGAGCGCGAAUGGAGCAAUCCUAGUAGAGCGGCGCACGGGUGCGUAACACGUGGGUAAUCUGCCUCAAAGCCCGGGAUAACCUGCCGAAAGGCAAGCUAAUACCGGAUAAGCCUACGGACUCUUCGGGGUCUGAAGGAAAAGGUGGCCUCUGUAUACAAGCUAUCACUUUGAGAUGAGCCCGCGGCCCAUCAGCUCGUUGGCGGGGUAACGGCCCACCAAGGCAACGACGGGUAGCUGGUCUGAGAGGACGAUCAGCCACACUGGAACUGAGACACGGUCCAGACUCCUACGGGAGGCAGCAGUGGGGAAUUUUGGACAAUGGGCGAAAGCCUGAUCCAGCCAUGCCGCGUGUGUGAAGAAGGCC